rnacentral:rRNA from 1 species
ACCGAUAGUGAACCAGUACCGUGAGGGAAAGGUGAAAAGCACCCCGGAAGGGGAGUGAAAUAGAACCUGAAACCGUGUGCCUACAACAAGUCAAAGCCCGUUAAUGGGUGAUGGCGUGCCUUUUGUAGAAUGAACCGGCGAGUUACGAUUGCAUGCGAGGUUAAGUUGAAGAGACGGAGCCGCAGCGAAAGCGAGUCUGAAUAGGGCGUUUGAGUAUGUAGUCGUAGACCCGAAACCAUGUGAUCUACCCAUGUCCAGGUUGAAGGUGCGGUAAAACGCACUGGAGGACCGAACCCACGUACGUUGAAAAGUGCGGGGAUGAGGUGUGGGUAGCGGAGAAAUUCCAAACGAACUUGGAGAUAGCUGGUUCUCUCCGAAAUAGCUUUAGGGCUAGCCUCGGAAUUGAGAAUGAUGGAGGUAGAGCACUGUUUGGACUAGGGGCCCAUCUCGGGUUACCGAAUUCAGAUAAACUCCGAAUGCCAUUCAUUCAUAUCCGGGAGUCAGACUGUGAGUGAUAAGAUCCAUAGUCGAAAGGGAAACAGCCCAGACCACCAGCUAAGGUCCCAAAAUAUAUGUUAAGUGGAAAAGGAUGUGGGGUUGCACAGACAACUAGGAUGUUGGCUUAGAAGCAGCCACCAUUUAAAGAGUGCGUAAUAGCUCACUAGUCGAGUGACCCUGCGCCGAAAAUGUACCGGGGCUAAACAUAUUACCGAAGCUGUGGAGUACACCUUUAGGUGUAUUGGUAGGAGAGCGUUCUAAGGGCGUUGAAGGCAGAUCGUGAGGACUGCUGGAGCGCUUAGAAGUGAGAAUGCCGGUAUGAGUAGCGAAAGACAGGUGAGAAUCCUGUCCACCGAAUGACUAAGGUUUCCUGGGGAAGGCUCGUCCGCCCAGGGUUAGUCGGGACCUAAGCCGAGGCCGACAGGCGUAGGCGAUGGACAACAGGUUGAUAUUCCUGUACUCGUUGUUUUUGUUUGAGCAAUGGAGGGACGCAGGAGGCUAAGGAAUGCAGACGAUUGGAAAUGUCUGUCUAAGCAGUAAGUCU